UUCUGGUCCCCUCGAUUGCAGGUCCAUGUAUUUUUAUUGAUUGCUAGAUGAGCCGCAGCUGAUGUCUAAAUUUGAGUUCUAAUUUUGUUGUUCUAGUGGAUCGGACCCGUCUGAUUCCCAGUUUAGCGUGAGGGCUCCCAUUCCAGUAUUCCAAAUGUAAACGGUUGUGCUACACUUCACUUCUUUCUUUCUGACUAUCUUCUAUACAACAAAAAUUCUAUGAGACCCCUCGCUGAUGAUGAUACAGUGAUACACUGAGGGUGCGUGGCUAUGCUCUCGAAGGAUGAAAGGUAAGCCUUGUCAACUUACUCUAAGCUGAUGUUUGGUUCAAAAAUGUAACGCAAACACAAAUGUAAUCAGAAACCAGCAGUAACGUUAACAAUGAAACAGAUGGCUCGCUUUGUUUGGUUCGCACGCUGUAAAGUAUAAACCUGCAUCUCUAACCACCCAUCUACCAUCGUCAUCUCGUUCCCCCGUUUCUCUCCUUGCAUCUUGCUGGUCAGGCCUGCUGUUCUCUACCUUUGCCGUGCGCUCACUGCUCACUGAGGAAACGGAGCUUCCAGGAUGCUCACAGACCGAUAGCCUAGCCUUCCAGGAUGCUGCGGCCACGAGGAAAUGGAGCUUCGAGGAGGAGGUCGACCUCGAGAAAAAGUUGGAGCAGCUGGCGUCAUAAGCGGUGGUGCAUCGAAAAGAAAGCAGAUGGGAAUGAGGCGGAGGAAGUAGCGGCCGACAUCGUCAUCGUCGCAUUGUUGGCAGCUGUCACCACUGGCGGAGACGAGAUGAAGAGGUCGCUGAGCCAGAGCAGCAUGGUCAUCGGUGGUGAUGCGUCGAGAAGAAAGCAGAGAAGGAUGAGGUGGAGGCGGCGGCCGGUGGCCUCGCCGCCGC
rnacentral:lncRNA from 1 species